rnacentral:rRNA from 1 species
GACGAACGCUGGCGGCGUGCCUAACACAUGCAAGUCGAACGAAGUCGCGAACGGGUGAGUAACGCGUAUCAACCUGCCCUCCAGAGGGUGACAACAGUUAAACACUACUGCUAAUACCGCAUCCUGUAGGUGGGCAUUGCGUGUGAUUAGCUAGUCGGCGGGGUAACGGCCCACCAAGGCGAUGAUCCCUAGCUGGUCUGAGAGGAUGACCAGCCACACUGGAACUGAGACACGGUCCAGACUCCUACGGGAGGCAGCAGUGGGGAAUAUUGCACAAUGGGCGCAAGCCUGAUGCAGCCAUGCCGCGUGUGUGAAGAAGGCCUUCGGGUUGUAAAGCACUUUCAGCGGGGAGGCGUUACCCGCAGAAGAAGCACCGGCUAACUCCGGCCAGCAGCCGCGGUAAUUC